GGGUAAGUAGCUUAAGGCGUAGAGCAUGAACUUUUUAAGUUUAGGGUAGAAUUUUCUCUUACUCA
rnacentral:tRNA from 1 species